rnacentral:sRNA from 1 species
AAUAAGAGAAUUAACGAAUGUUACUGUAAAUGAUAACCAAAACAUAGAACAAAUAGUAAGGAAAUUUAAAACGUGUUCAUCUAACCCGCGAAGACUCGCAACUCCAUCAAAAAAUUUACCACAGAAUAAGUUAUCGUCGCAAGUGCGUUGCAAUUUGUAGGGGAACUCAGUUUCCCGCAAAGCCCUCGCAAAUUUGCGACGUUUUUGCGGGGAAUCAUUGGCUCGCAAAUUUGUGAGGGAAAUAUUUGUCUCAAAGUUUGCGACGGAAUAACGAGUUGGUCAUGUUCCCUCAGAGAGAUCUAUUCGUCGGCGAAGAAGAGGUUUGUCGGAGAGAUCUAUUCGUCGACGAAGAAGAGGUUUGUCGGAGAGAUCUAUUCGUCGGCGAAUUUGAGGUUUGUCGGAGAGAACAAUUCGUCGGCGAAUUUGAGUUUUAUCGGAGAGAACAAUUCGUCGGCGAAUUUGAGUAGGUUUGUCAAAAUGAAAGUGAAACCCUAAUUAUUCAGUAAAGGGAUAGACCGUUAUUUUCCACAUUAGAAGGGCAAUUUUCAAAAUGGCUAUCAGGAAAGGGCAUUGUUGGAAAAGGUAAUUAGAAAAAGGGCACUUUUGCAAAUCUCCUUUUUGAUUGUUAUACCUUAGAUUUCACCUGUAGAAUAUCAUCUCGUAUUAAUAUCGACCCAAAUCAUUCUAACCAUAUAACCCCGUCCUAUGAAAUUAAACAUCAUUUUGUCUUAGUUUUCU